rnacentral:rRNA from 1 species
CGUAACAAGGUCUCCGUUGGUGAACCAGCGGAGGGAUCAUUACCGAGUUUACAACUCCCAAACCCCUGUGAACAUACCUAUACGUUGCCUCGGCGGAUCAGCCCGCGCCCCGUAAAACGGGACGGCCCGCCCGAGGACCCCUAAACUCUGUUUUUAGUGGAACUUCUGAGUAAAACAAACAAAUAAAUCAAAACUUUCAACAACGGAUCUCUUGGUUCUGGCAUCGAUGAAGAACGCAGCAAAAUGCGAUAAGUAAUGUGAAUUGCAGAAUUCAGUGAAUCAUCGAAUCUUUGAACGCACAUUGCGCCCGCCAGUAUUCUGGCGGGCAUGCCUGUUCGAGCGUCAUUUCAACCCUCAAGCUCAGCUUGGUGUUGGGACUCGCGGUAACCCGCGUUCCCCAAAUCGAUUGGCGGUCACGUCGAGCUUCCAUAGCGUAGUAAUCAUACACCUCGUUACUGGUAAUCGUCGCGGCCACGCCGUUAAACCCCAACUUCUGAAUGUUGACCUCG